GACGAACGCUGGCGGCGUGCUUAACACAUGCAAGUCGAACGGAAAGGCCCUGCUUUUGUGGGGUGCUCGAGUGGCGAACGGGUGAGUAACACGUGAGUAACCUGCCCUUGACUUUGGGAUAACUUCAGGAAACUGGGGCUAAUACCGGAUAGGAGCUCCUGCUGCAUGGUGGGGGUUGGAAAGUUUCGGCGGUUGGGGAUGGACUCGCGGCUUAUCAGCUUGUUGGUGGGGUAGUGGCUUACCAAGGCUUUGACGGGUAGCCGGCCUGAGAGGGUGACCGGCCACAUUGGGACUGAGAUGCGGCCCAGACUCCUACGGGAGGCAGCAGUGGGGAAUAUUGCACAAUGGGCGGAAGCCUGAUGCAGCAACGCCGCGUGCGGGAUGACGGCCUUCGGGUUGUAUACCACUUUCGCCUGUGACGAGGCGUGAGUGACGGUAAUGGGUAAAGAAGCACCGGCUAACUACGUG
rnacentral:rRNA from 1 species